UAACGAAUCUUCCGCAAUGGGCGAAAGCCUGACGGAGCAAUGCCGCGUGUGGGAUGAAGCGCCUUCGGCGUGUAAACCACUGUCAGGGAAUGGAACCAAUGAUUAUUCCCAAAGGAAGUGGCGACUAACUCUGUGCCAGCAGUCGCGGUAAUACAGAGGCCACAAGCGUUAGUCGGAAUCACUGGGCUUAAAGGGUGCGUAGGCGGGCCCGCAAGCGUCUUGUGAAAUCCCAUGGCUCAACCAUGGAAUUGCAGGGCGAACUGCGGGUCUUGAGGCAGGUAGGGGCCGGAAGAACAGUAGGUGGAGCGGUGAAAUGCGUAGAUAUCUACUGGAAUGCCGAUGGGGAAGCCGUCCGGCUGGGCCUGUCCUGACGCUGAGGCACGAAAGCGUGGGGAGCAAACAGGAUUAGAUACCCUGGUAGUCCCUGAGCGGGCUGGCAAGGCGCAU
rnacentral:rRNA from 1 species